rnacentral:rRNA from 1 species
UACGUAGGGCGCGAGCGUUGUCCGGAAUUAUUGGGCGUAAAGAGCUUGUAGGCGGUUUGUCGCGUCUGCUGUGAAAAUCCGGGGCUCAACCCCGGACUUGCAGUGGGUACGGGCAGACUAGAGUGUGGUAGGGGAGACUGGAAUUCCUGGUGUAGCGGUGAAAUGCGCAGAUAUCAGGAGGAACACCGAUGGCGAAGGCAGGUCUCUGGGCCGCUACUGACGCUGAGAAGCGAAAGCGUGGGGAGCGAACAGG